rnacentral:rRNA from 1 species
GCUUACGGCCAUACCACCCUGUCUGCACCCGAUCUUGUCUGAUCUUGGAAGCUAAGCAGGGCUGGGCCUGGUUAGUACUUGGAUGGGAGACAGCCUGGGAAUACCAGGUGCUGUAAGCU